UACGUAGGGGGCAAGCGUUGUCCGGAAUCAUUGGGCGUAAAGCGUGUGUAGGCGGCUCGAUAAGUCUGCUGUGAAAGUUCAGGGCUCAACCCUGAAAUGCCGGUGGAAACUGUCGGGCUAGAGUCCGGAAGAGGCGAGUGGAAUUCCUGGUGUAGCGGUGAAAUGCGCAGAUAUCAGGAGGAACACCAAUGGCGAAGGCAGCUCGCUGGGACGGUACUGACGCUGAGACGCGAAAGCGUGGGGAGCAAACAGG
rnacentral:rRNA from 1 species